rnacentral:rRNA from 1 species
UACGUAGGUGGCGAGCGUUGUCCGGAAUUACUGGGCGUAAAGCGUGCGCAGGCGGUUUUGUAAGUCUGACGUGAAAGCCCCGGGCUUAACCUGGGAAUUGCGUUGGAGACUGCAAGGCUUGAAUCUGGCAGAGGGGGGUAGAAUUCCACGUGUAGCAGUGAAAUGCGUAGAGAUGUGGAGGAACACCGAUGGCGAAGGCAGCCCCCUGGGUCAAGAUUGACGCUCAUGCACGAAAGCGUGGGGAGCAAACAGG